UACGUAGGGUGCAAGCGUUGUCCGGAAUUAUUGGGCGUAAAGAGCUCGUAGGCGGUUUGUCGCGUCUGCUGUGAAAACUCAGGGCUUAACUCUGAGCUUGCAGUGGGUACGGGCAGACUAGAGUGCGGUAGGGGAGACUGGAAUUCCUGGUGUAGCGGUGAAAUGCGCAGAUAUCGAGGAGGAACACCGGUGGCGAAGGCGGGUCUCUGGGCCGUAACUGGACGCUGGAGGAGCGAAAGCAUCGGGGAGCGAACAGG
rnacentral:rRNA from 1 species